UACGGAGGGGGCGAGCGUUAUUCGGAAUUACUGGGCGUAAAGCGCACGUAGGCGGAUUGUUAAGUCGGGGGUGAAAUCCUGGAGCUCAACUCCAGAACUGCCUUCGAUACUGGCGAUCUCGAGUUCGGGAGAGGUGAGUGGAACUGCGAGUGUAGAGGUGAAAUUCGUAGAUAUUCGCAAGAACACCAGUGGCGAAGGCGGCUCACUGGCCCGAUACUGACGCUGAGGUGCGAAAGCGUGGGGAGCAAACAGG
rnacentral:rRNA from 1 species